CCGCUCAAUCGAUACAAUGCUUUUACUCAUCUAAAAACAACAAUUGUACCUUAUUAUUCUAUUACCUAUUUGUUAUCACUUAUCUAUCCGAUUAAUCUAUUCAUCUAGUGUUGUUGUAUUUACCUAGUGGUAUUAUAGAAGUAUACGUAUUUAUAUAGAAAAAAAAAAAACAAGUGCGACGCAAAAUCGUUUUGUGAGACAUUACCUUCGCAAAAUUGCUUAGGCGACGUCAUAAAGUACUGAUUGCGUAGAAAACAGUGUUGAAUAACUUUGUUGAAUGGAAGUGAAAUUAUAUUGAAGGUGAAGAGUUUGGAAUCGGUGAUUGUGGUGACAAGAUGACUGCGGCACCGGCGGCGUCGUGCAUCAGCACAGACCAUGGCUGUGUUGUGUUCGAUUGCCUCGUCCACCUUUGGGAAUGGCUAGAUCCCCCAGUGACGCAGACGGAAUUCCAAAUGGAGAACAAAAAGCCAGCACCAGCAACGCAGCAACCCCAAACACAACAACACCUUAUGGCCCACCACGUUCACCCAGAUCAGAUUUAUUCCUCUCAACACACACAAUUAACUGCGAAUCUAACAUCAGCGCAAACUGGACAAAUUCAACCGAAUGGCGUCAUGCACCAACUAUUACAAAGCCAAUACCAUUCAAACAUGAAUGCGCGGUCACCGCUCCUAGAAAACAGACACGAACUAUAUGGAACGGGGCACAAUCAAGACUAUGCGAGGCACUAUGGGGCGAAUGAUAAUUAUAAUUACCCCCAGUCACCUCCAAGGCAGGAAAGAACCGAUAUGCAUACUGAUCAUAAUGUCAAUCAUGAAUUACUACACAAUAUUCCUAAAGGAUAUAAUGCGGAAGUCUAUCAGGAUUAUUUGAAACGGAACCCACCGAAAGAUGCCAAUCAAAUAUACCAAAAUCAUCAGCCUAUGUAUAAACCUAAUGUGAACCAAUACGGUUCAAAGCCAUAUCUACCAUAUUCAAAUAGGAUAGGACCACAAAGUAAUACUGAGUUAUUGCGAAGACAAUACAAUGAAAUUCAACAAAUGAAGAUGCAACAACAAUUACAUUACCAAAACCAGGCACAAAUGCAUCAACAGCAAAAGUUUGCUGAACGACAAUUGCUGCUCCAACAAAUCCAUGGAGUUCAUCCUCCGCCUAAUUUGCAAAAUAGUAUAUAUUCGUCUGACAGUUUUUUUAGAGAUUUAGAUCGGUAUAGUAAAAAUGAUUUUAAAGACUAUAGUAGUCCCGACAUACAAAAAGAUAUUGAAAUGUAUAGUAAAAGUAAUGAAAUCGAGAAACAACAAAAUAGGCAAUAUCAGGAAUCUCAAUGGCAAGCAAACCAGCCAAGUGAUUUUAGAGAAAACGAAAAAUUUAGAAGACAGUCAGAAGGCGAUAAAGGAAUGACUCAAUCUCCACCUUCUGAGUAUAACAAUCAACACGAAAGAAGUAACGUGGGUGUGGUAUCGCCAAUGAAAUCUAGUGAAUCAAGUACCCCUAGCAUUAAGUCCCCUUCAUCUGAAAGCCGUAGAAGUAGUAGUGGAAAUCAGGCAUUAAGAUCUCCUAUAGCUCAAAGAAUCCCUUCAGCUCCUGUAACAAUGUCUGGCAUUUUAUAUAAACAAGGUUCUGAUGGACUAAAAGUAUGGAGAAAGAGGUGGUUCGUGUUGUCAGAGUACUGUUUAUUUUAUUAUAAAAGCCAGGAUGAAGAAAAGCUGUUGGGAUCGGUGCUUUUACCUUCUUACAAAGUCUCUGCGUGUUCAAGCGACGACAAAGUAUUGAGAAAAUUUUCAUUCAAGUUAGAACAUGCUAACAUGAGGACGUAUGUUUUGGCAGCACCAGAUCAAGAGGCUAUGUUGAAGUGGGUGAAGGCGCUAACCAUGGCUGCAUUGAUGCAAAAUCCAAACGAACAACCACAAAAACAGACCGAGAGGGCAGCUGCAAAAAUAGAGGAUGGUGACGAAGUACCUGGACCAACAUAUGCUAAUGCUCCACCAAAACCGAGACGAUCCAAUGAAGGAUAUAACUCACCUAGUCCUGAUAUGUAUGAUCCCAAUUACGAUAUACUCAAAAAGCCAGCAUCACACUAUAGUCAGAGCACUAGUCACAUUCGUUCUCAGGAUCACACAAAUUAUACAAGUAGUCCAAAUCAGGAGAGCACAUACACUCGUAGCCCGCAGUCUCCACCAUCAGCACAGCAGCAACCUCAGUACCAGAUGAAACGACCCUACGACACGCAACACCUUUCUCUACCAUUAACAAAUACCGUUACUGAUAGACUUGAAAACAAUCAACCUAGUACAUCAUCUACAUAUAGAUCUAAUCCUCAAUCACCUUAUUUUAAUAAUAGGGAUAGGAGUCAACAGCAACCGUCAACGGUAAAAGAAAAUAUUCAGGGACAGUUAUAUGAUACACAGCGGAACAUCCAACGCAAUCCUUUUCUUCAAGAUAACACACCGCAAACAGAAAAUCAGGUUAGAGAAAUUGAUGUACAAAAUAAAAACAAUCGAUCGGUUUCGGAAUCUAAUAGAUUGCAGUCAAAUUUUAAUGAAUCUUAUGCGGAAGUUCGUUCUAAUUUAAAACAAAAUAAUGAUACCGGUGCUUAUAAUAGAGACGUUUAUGGUGAGCUAAAUGUGAGACAAAACAGAGCACCUGGAAUAAAUGAUCGAUUACUAAAUGAAAGACGCACACCAGAUGCCUAUGGUCGAUCGACAUCUAUGGCUGCCUAUAACAGAGAAAAGGUCGGAGAUUAUGAAGAUGUGUAUGGAGUGUAUGCUACAGAAAAUGAAUAUGGUAAAACUUAUAAUAAGUCACCAUCAAAUACCUCUCAAAUAAAUGCAAUCGGUUCAUAUACCACAAAACAAUCGCAAGAAUUUUCCGGAAAUGAGAAGACAUUUAGUGGACCAUCAGUUUUAAGAAGGAAAAAGAUGCAAUCUUCUGGGAUACAACCACCAAUGCCUAGACCGCACAGCGCAGAUUUUCUUGAAUAUGAGUCUAAAAAUGAAAUGCUUAAUAAAACCAUGCCAGCACGUACGACAUGUGAGCAGAUUAAACAGCCUCAAAGACCUAAGUCAAGUCUUGACAUAAAUUCAUAUUAUGAUCCUAGUUCAGAUAGAUAUUACUCCGAAGAAAGUUAUGCUGAAAAAAUGCGACAGUCAGCUCAAUAUCUACAACAAGGCUUAGGUUCACGAAAUAUUCAAAUUCCGCUUGCAAAAUAUGCUAGUGGAUUAGCUGAAAAGCAAUUAAAUUCACCAUAUUCACAGAUUACUAAUAAUAACUAUGAAACUGAAUUUGGUGCAAAUAAGAUAGCUCGAGACAAUGUAAGUUAUAAUUCUAAACAUAGCGAUCUCGAAGGUUUGAAUUCUAACUGGACUUUAAAAGAAAAGGGCAUUGAAAAUCAAAAAGAUUACGUAAACAGAAGUGGGAGUGUAAUGAGCGAUGGUUCGAAUGUUAGUGGAUAUACCAAAGACAUAAGUAAAUUUGAUGUAUCUUCCGAAGGUUUUAUUCGAUCAGCAAGUGCAAGAUUACCAUCAACAACCACAGAGAAGGAUGGCGAUAAAAAAACCCAGCAGCGUGAAGAAUCAAUGAAACGUUUAUUAGAAUGGAAACAGAGAAUGCUCCAAUCUCCUUUAACAAGAAAAAGUACACCAGCCACUAUAUCUCUUGCUAGAUCUUUGAAUCAAAGUCGCCAGUCUUUGAGAUCAGAUCAGUACAAAUCUAAAAAUUAUACAAAUGCAUCCUAUAAUAGCUACUCUUCAGAUGAUGAAGCUUCUAUGACAAUGUCAGGCACGAAUAUAAACUUAAGCUCAGAAAAUAAUACAACGAAUCAACAACCACUAUCAAAGAAAAGUUUUCUCGGUAGUAAUACAUCAAUUGGAAGGAAUAACCGAGAUGCCAAUAUACCAGUACGUGCAGUGAGUCCUAGAGUAAGAUGGGUAGAAGAAAAAACAUCAAAUGAACAUUUCAGCUCCCAACCGAUGUCAACUUCUCAGCAAAAUUUGCAUACGCUGACAUCUACAGAGGAUAUAUGGGCGACAGCUCGAUCGCCAUCACGAACCUCACAACAACCUAUUCGAGCUGUUAGCCCAAGGGUCCGAAGGAACACUGAAGCAGAUGCUUUGCAAAGGGAAGUUCAAAGAUCAGGCCAUGGUGAAUUAUUGAGUGAUGUACCUACUGCUGGAGAGCUUCUAGGUCGAACUCAUGAGGAACUUGUAUUGCUCCUCAUACAGUUAAGACGACGGCAUGCAGCUACUCACCGUGCUAUUGAGAAUUGCUGUUCACAAAUAAAUAGUAUAGAGGACUGUCUCAGUUCCUUAAAAUCACUAGAACGAGAAGAAAGUUUACAACGAUUGGAGCAACUAAAGAUGCAACUGAUGGAAUUAGAACAUCAGUAUGAGAAAAGCAAACCGUUGGUCCAAUUAGUUGAUAAUAUGGUAAAAUUGGGUUCUUUAUACAACCGACCAGGGUCCACAGUGGAACGUUUGGAAAGAAAUCAGAGAUUGAGGCAGAAAGUACUCGCUGAACACGCGUUAGAACAACAAAGGUGGCUUGAAAGUGCAGCAGCAGGAAAGCCUUUAGAAACCGAAGCGGCUAGAGCUAGAGUAGCGGAAUUGUGGGCGUUGGAGCAAGAGUUGGCAGACGAGGCUGCCAUAUUACAGGGACUCAGGACUGACAAGGACGCUAUUGAGUCACUACUUACUGGAGUACGCGGUAAACUCGACAGUGUUCCUCGCAGUGAAUUGUUAUCUCGUAACGGGAUGGGUAUGGGUGCAGGGGUUGCAGGUGGUAUUGUUGGUCCGGGAGGACAAAGGAUCCCGCAGAACUUCCCAAGCGGCUCGGCGCUCGAAGCGGAGCUAGCGCGGGUGCACGCCAUGCUGGCGCACAAUUCUAAGGUUUAUAAGAAACUAGAACAAACGGUAGCAGACAACGCCCGGUUGGAACGCGAGCUCCAGCAGCUACGGCGGGCGCUGCAGGCUCGUCGCGCUGCCGCUCCCGCUCAUCCCACUGCUGUGCUCGAAGAUGAGGUGUCGCGCGUGCAGCAGCUGGUAUCAGCAUUACAGCGGCAGCGACAGGAGCUGAGCCGCGCAGUACGGCAUCUGACGCAGCAGUCGCAAGCGCUGCAGACCACCCAUCACUCUAUACCUGGCAAACGCCGUCCAAUUUCAUCCUGGCAAGAAACCAACUUAGACACAGGACACACAAUCGACCACGGCCAGUCAGAUUAUGACUACGACAUAUCGAGAGACCUGUUACCACCAGGGCACUAUGAACCUUCUAAUAUGGAUACGCCAUUAUAUGUCGAUACUCGAACUUCAGCACCCGAUAUCGCAUCACCGUUAACUAGUGAGGAAAUGCAACACAGUGGGUUUGGAAACCUUUCAAACGUUGAGAAACAAGAAAUAAAAACAGUCCGGAUAGUAAAGAGGGAAAGCGAAAGACGUCAGAGAGACAGAGAGCGAUCACUUCAACCGAUGUCCGAUUGGCCAUCUAAUAACAUUUCAGCAAACCUAGACCAGUUCAUAGAAGAAGAACUAGUCCAGUCAUUGAAUUAUUCAAGAGCAUCAUCCGUGCCUCGGACAGAUUUUAGCAAAUUCGAAGAGUACUAUUCAAAACCGCAAUCUGAACAACAAAAUUAUAUUCGUUUGAAUGAGAAAAAUAUGGAGUUAAGUCCAAAAUAUCCAUCAAGUCCGUCAUUGUCGAACUAUGAUUAUUCUAGAGACAUAUCAUCUCUUAGUAGCAGUUACCAUAAAAGUUACGAUAAGUCUGGAUAUGAUCGCACUAUGUCCCUUUCAACUCAGUAUCUAAAUAGUCCUACAGAUAGUUCUAGAACGUUGACUAACGAUCCAAUAUCGAAAACGAGUAGUAUAGUUAGUUUGACCAGGUCCCAUAUGGAGCUGUCUCCAAUUUUCAAAAGUGAGGCAGCGAAGCAGAUUAUAACGGAGAUGUCAGGGGAGCCCAAAAAUGGGUCAUUGCAUAGGAGGCAAGUUCCGAAGGAGAAAAGAAGGCACAAUACAGCGCCACACCAUUUAAGUGCAAAAACUUUGAACGAAAUGCCUAAGGAUGGAUAUAAUCAAGAUAAGCUGGGCCGGUCGCUGGACGACACGGACAUGGAGCGCGCGCUGCGCGGCGUGGGCGGCGUGCGCGGCGUGCGCGGCGUGCGCGCGGCGCCGGCGCCGGACGUGGUGCGCUCGGCGCUGCCGCCGCCCGCGCACCGCCUCGCCGACAACGCCAUCGACCAGCUGCUCGCCGCGCCGCAGAAAAUACUCAUACCGGAACGGUAUAUACCUGAAAAGCCACCUGAGCUUUCACCUGAGGAACAACAGAAACGACAAGAAAAAGUUGAAUCAAUAAAAAAGAUGCUCACCAGUUCUUCUGCAGAUACUAACAAGAGCCCGGACACUGAAGAGAAGCGGCAGCGGGAACAUUUACUCCAGAUGAACCAGAUUCUUGCCAAGCAGGUCACCGAGAUGAGCAAAAUAAUAGCUGGAACCAACACUGAUCAAGGGCCAUCCAGCGCAAACAACUGAUUUCAUAUACCAAAUUAUAUCCCACAUAAACCCUGUUGAAAGCACCAUAUCACGCUCGAUCACCUUUUAACCUAUUGACAUCCUUAGAAACAUUUAUAAUUACACUUUUCCCUACCUUGAAGUAGUUACUACCUUAUCCAGUGGCCCUUAGAAGAUAUGCUGUCAAGUAUGUCGCGGCAUGGUUUCGUUUUAUUGCAUUUUGUUUGAAAGCGUUGGAAGAGCUGCCACUACACGACAAAAACGACGACUUGGAUGAUCGUUCGCCUGACGUCGAGCUGCCUAUAUAUCAGCAGAGGGACAACUUCUUUACAUAGAAUAUUUGUGCACGCUUAAUGUAUUUCAAAAUUAACCUGGUUUAGACCUAUAGACCUUCUUUGGAGGUAUUACGAGGUUAAAAAUUAGGCCAUGAUUACUAUUAGAAUUGAUAUCACGUGUGAGACAUAGUAUAAUAUCAACCUACUUAUCAACUCGUGGCUUAAUGAUCUAGUUAUAUUAUAAUAAUUAUGGUACUUAUCAAACUAUUGCGAACUGUAAUGAAAAAUCGUUAAUCUAAAUUAAGAAAACAAUGUAAUCAAAUUCUGUGGGCUUUAAUAAAUUUUAAGCUAUUAAAGUAGAAUGUUCAAUUAUUAGUAUAGCAUGUAUUCAAGUGUAUUAAACUUUUUAAAUUAUAAUCUUUUAUAAAAAAUAAAUGGAUAGGAGAUCAGUGCUCGGAUUAUGGUACGUGCCAUGAUAAUAAUUACAAUCUGAACAAACCAAAUCUAUGACUGAAAUCAGGUGCUCACAAUGAUCGCCACUCUAAUGAUAUUGGUUAAACUAAACCUUAUACCAUUGGUUUAAGGAUUAGUUUGAUCAAGUGUAAUAUGAUUUUUAAUUCUUGCAAGACCACUAUUCGGAGACUUUUCGAGAAGGUUCCGAAUUGGUGUGUCCGAUUAACUUAUUCUGAAAACAGAAUAAAUUUAAGCCAAUGAUUUUAGUUGAGCAUUUUCAGUCUGUAUCAUCUUUUUUGAAAAUGUAAACAGUGAUGUUAAUAAAAAACCAGGUGGCGUUAUAAAUACAAUUGUUUAUAUAAUAUUAACGUGAUUGUACACGUUGUAUUUAAACAAAGGUUUGGUUACUGGGUUCAUUGCAAAUGUUAAUGUAGAACAAUUAGACCUAGUUAUGAUUAUUGAUAGGGACGUCUUAAAAAUGGACGAACUCGAUAUGAUGAUAGGGGUUUUUCUAGAACAGUUGACUACUACUGAAACCAGAUGAGACUUAAUGCUUAGGGUAGGUAAUUAUCGCCAGUAAAUAUUACAUUAGGCUUUUUAAUUUCCGUGUGAGAGUGACUAAUUGACUAUAUAAUUAAUUAUACGAACUGCAUCCAAAUAUCUGCUGUGUUGAUAGUACAAAAACUAUCUAUGUAAUUUUAUAUUAGUUCAUUUUGUAACUUAUUGCAAGAUAUUAAAACUUGCUUCCAAUUGAAAAGAAUAUUGCUAAACUUUUAUUAGCAAACUUUUGUUCGAUUUUAUUUGUUUCGUUGUUAUGUUAAUCUUUUGUGAGGGAUUUUUCAUUAUUUAUGAGAAUAUCAGUAAAAUCUAUUGUUUUCAGUAUUUGUGGUUAUUAUUAUUUAUCACUGCACUACAAUAUAAAUAAGUAAAUGUAAUUGUCAUAGGAGUAGCAUUUCAGAAUUAAAGUGACUUUCCACUUGGAAAAUAAGACGAUUUGCUUUGCACAUAUCCAUUGUAAUAUCAUUAUAUAUUUAGUGAUAUACAGCUAUUGCUUCGACUGCAACUGACAGAAAUGGAUCAUUUAUUUUAAUAUUUGCUCAAUUUUGACAACAUUCCUUCAUUAGUUGCUUUACAUUUCAUAGAAGUAUAUUGUAAAGUGUAUCACUUAGAGAUUGUUCAAUACAUAAAGUUGUUUUAGACCUCUUUUAUACGUAAUAGGUAAUUAUAUAAUUUCUUUUCCGUACUACUUAAAGUCUUCUAUGUAAAAGGCCUUGAAUUGUUAUUGUAGAGUUAAGAUAACAUAUAGCGAAUUGUAAUUAGAAAAUUAUUUAAGACGAUGCCAUGUUAUACAAUUAUUAUAAACUAAUCCAUUAUUAGCAAAAGCACAUUAUUAUAGGAAAAUAUUAGGUAAAAACAUAUAUAAGUUAAAGGAAACGAAAACAAAUGCGUUUUAGUAUUAUUUCGUUUAUAUUGUUUUAUGUAUAAUAUCUUGCUGUAUAUAAUAUUGUUUUAUGAUUUGAAUAAAUUUUCUUUUUUAUUAAUUGU